GAGAAGGGCAGCCGCAGGGAGUGGGUCCCAGAGGAGGGGGAGGACAUCUACACCCACUUCCUGACGCAGGCGGAGAUCCAGGGGAACAUCAGCAGGGUGAAUGUGCACGCGGCUCUGGAGGAGGUGGACGAUGCUGUGCAGAGGGGGGAUGCGCUGCUGCUGCACCGCGCGCUGCAGGACCC